rnacentral:rRNA from 1 species
GAUGAACGCUAGCGGCAGGCCUAAUACAUGCAAGUCGGACGGGAUUCAGGAGCUUGCUUCUGAUGAGAGUGGCGCACGGGUGCGUAACACGUAUGUAACCUACCUUUAUCAGGGGGAUAGCCUCUCGAAAGAGAGAUUAAGCCCGCAUAAAAUCACAGCACAGCAUUGUGUAAUGAUCAAAUAUUUAUAGGAUAAAGAUGGGCAUGCGGAACAUUAGCUAGAUGGCGGGGUAACGGCCCACCAUGGCGACGAUGUUUAGGGGAUCUGAGAGGGUGGCCCCCCACACUGGUACUGAGACACGGACCAGACUCCUACGGGAGGCAGCAGUAAGGAAUAUUGGUCAAUGGGCGGAAGCCUGAACCAGCCAUGCCGCGUGCAGGAAGACGGCCCUACGGGUUGUAAACUGCUUUUAUACGGGAAUAAACCCAGAUACGUGUAUCUGGCUGAAUGUACUGUAAGAAUAAGGAUCGGCUAACUCCGUG